GCUGAGGUUUAUCCCGAUACAGCUUUUUCUGUAGACCUACACCGCUGGGAACGCCUCAGACAGAAUACAUGUGGUUUCCUUCAUUCACAGAACCAUGUUUAGAUCUGUGGGAAAGAACUACAGGACAUCG
ensembl:snoRNA